rnacentral:rRNA from 1 species
UGGGGAAUUUUGGACAAUGGGCGAAAGCCUGAUCCAGCAAUGCCGCGUGUGUGAAGAAGGCCUUCGGGUUGUAAAGCACUUUUGUCCGGAAAGAAAUCCUUGGCUCUAAUACAGUCGGGGGAUGACGGUACCGGAAGAAUAAGCACCGGCUAACUACGUGCCAGCAGCCGCGGUAAUACGUAGGGUGCAAGCGUUAAUCGGAAUUACUGGGCGUAAAGCGUGCGCAGGCGGUUUGCUAAGACCGAUGUGAAAUCCCCGGGCUCAACCUGGGAACUGCAUUGGUGACUGGCAGGCUAGAGUAUGGCAGAGGGGGGUAGAAUUCCACGUGUAGCAGUGAAAUGCGUAGAGAUGUGGAGGAAUACCGAUGGCGAAGGCAGCCCCCUGGGCCAAUACUGACGCUCAUGCACGAAAGCGUGGGGAGCAAACAGGAUUAGAUACCCUGGUAGUCCACGCCCUAAACGAUGUCAACUAGUUGUUGGGGAUUCAUUCCUUAGUAACGUAGCUAACGCGUGAAGUUGACCGCCUGGGGAGUACGGUCGCAAGAUCAAUUAAACUGAAAUGAAUGCGGGGUCAUAGCUGUUUCCU